ncrna:unclassified sequences RT-14 RNA
CUCUAAUAUCAUUCGAGAUUAUAUGUCUUACGAGAUAUAUACAGUGAAAUGUUAGAAUAUUAAAGGGGUUUACUCCAUCCUUAAGUGGUAAAUAUAAAUUUUAAGAUGAGGUAUUAGUAGGUGUAUGUCGAAAAUAUAGUAGUCUUA